CACACACACACAUACACACUUCCCCAAUCAAUCUCUUGCAUGAGGUCUGCUGCGUGAUAUGACUUUUGUGGCAUUCCUUGGCUGAUCACUGAAUUACUCUUUCACAGCGAAACCUUUUUUAGCCACCACUAUGGAAGCGAGGAAUGAAACUAAGUUCUAAAGAAAAAAUUGAAGUUCAGCGGCGAAUUACAGAAAUGCCAAGCUUGCGAUGAUGGAGUGCACCCGUCAUGUAAACAGAGCCGGGUGAAGGGCAAGAAUGUGACCCAGUAUGAGCCAUUAGGCUUUAGUUCUCACAUCAAGCUGUGUAUAGCUGUGCUGGGGUGUUGAGUGAUCCUGCCUCUGCGAUGAAUAACAUCAGCAGCAAAUAAUUAUCACUUGCCUAGCAAGUGUUGAGUGCUACCUUAUGGUAUUGUCUUACUAUUGCUUGCAAUGAGCCUAUGGGAUAGACUACCUGUUCUCAUUUUAUAGACAAACAAACUCACAAUUAAAGUUAAAUAUGACAGAAAGGCUAAGCUGUGAGAACCAGAAAGCAGCAAGUGGAAGACCUGAAACUCUGAUUCCAGGGCUCAGGAGUAGAAUGACAGACGACCAAACACUCAGUUUCCCCAUCUAAAAUAAUCACCCUCCCUAUACUUGUUCUGUGGCAGGUACCCAUUCAACCUACCAAACAAAAUCAAAAUCCAGUUAUCCCUUUGGGACCCUAACUGACUUUUUUUUUUUCUGGUCAGAACUAUACACAGACUUAAGGGAUUCUUGCCUCUCUCCCUCUCUCUAUCUUCCUCCCCCCUCUCUCUUUUUCCUUCUCUCUCUCCCUCUCUCUUCCCUCUCCCUCCUUCUCUCUCUG